CUUGUUGGGACUUUCUCUUUGAUGUCCGCCAUUUCAAUAAAUUGAUCGUGGACUGAAGAUUAUUUCAGCCCAGAAUGAGGGACAAGUGGAAGAAGAAACGUAUGCGAAGGUUGAAACGAAAACGCAGAAAAAUGCGAGCCAGAUCAAAGUAAACUGGAGGCAGCGUGUUGUAGACCUGAAAUAAUUUGGUAUCACUGAAGAAAAUUGUUAUGAAAAAGACUGAAGAAAAGGAGCAUAUGAGAGAGAGACAAUAGAUUAUGAUAAAGAAUGACUUUUUAUUCUAUGAUUCCAACCAUGUCUACAAAGUAUUUUGUCUGUUUUAUAAUUGCAAUAAAACUUGUAAAAGCAUUAUA